rnacentral:rRNA from 1 species
UACGGAGGGUGCGAGCGUUGUUCGGAAUUACUGGGCGUAAAGCGCGUGCAGGCGGUCGAUUAAGUCCGGUGUGAAAGCCCGGGGCUCACCCCCGGAAGUGCGCUGGAAACUAAUCAACUAGAGUACGGGAGAGGGAAGUGGAAUUCCUGGUGUAGCGGUGAAAUGCGUAGAUAUCAGGAGGAACACCGGCGGCGAAGGCGGCUCACUGGCCCGAUACUGACGCUGAGGCGCGAAAGCGUGGGGAGCAAACAGG